rnacentral:rRNA from 1 species
UGGGGAAUAUUGCACAAUGGGCGCAAGCCUGAUGCAGCCAUGCCGCGUGUGUGACGAAGGCCUUCGGGUUGUAAAGCACUUUCAGCGAGGAGGAAGGGUAGUGUGUUAAUAGCACAUUGCAUUGACGUUACUCGCAGAAGAAGCACCGGCUAACUCCGUGCCAGCAGCCGCGGUAAUACGGAGGGUGCAAGCGUUAAUCGGAAUUACUGGGCGUAAAGCGCACGCAGGCGGUUUGUUAAGUCAGAUGUGAAAUCCCCGCGCUUAACGUGGGAACUGCAUUUGAAACUGGCAAGCUAGAGUCUUGUAGAGGGGGGUAGAAUUCCAGGUGUAGCGGUGAAAUGCGUAGAGAUCUGGAGGAAUACCGGUGGCGAAGGCGGCCCCCUGGACAAAGACUGACGCUCAGGUGCGAAAGCGUGGGGAGCAAACA